GGGGGCGUAGCUCAGUUGGUUAGAGCGCCGGCCUGUCACGCCGGAGGUCGCGGGUUCAAGUCCCGUCGCUCCCGCCA
rnacentral:tRNA from 3 species